GCAGACGCUCAACCACUGAGCCACCCAGGCGUCCCUCUAAAAUACAUUUAUUUAUUUAUUUAUUUAUUUAUUUAUUUAUUUUCCUAAAAUACAUUUAAAGGAAAGAGUAGAAGGUAUUGCAAAAAUUCAAAGGUGAGUUUCAGGUUUUUGGCUUGGCUAAUUGGGUGACUGAGAAUAAUACAGAAAAAGUUUUGUUUUUUUUUUUUAAGAUUUUAUUUAUUCACAAGAGACACACAGAGAGAGGCAGAGACAUAGGCAGAGGGAGAAGCAGGCUCCUGGAGAGGAGCCUGAUGUGGAACUCUAUUCUAGGACCCCUGGAUCAUGCCCUGAGACAAAGGCAGAUGCUCAACCACUGAGGCACCUUCCAGGUGCCCCAAAAGGUGAAAACUGUGUGUAAAGGUUGAUAUAUUAUUUUAGACAUGCUGAGUCUGAGGUUCCCAUGUGCUAUCCAAGGGGAAAGGUUGAGUAAGAAAUUGAGUAUAUGUAUCUGAAGCUUUGGGAAAAGUCUCAGAGGUAUAGAUUAGAGACUCUUCAUCUUCAUGUAGGUAGUUGUUAAAACCUCAAGUGGAUGACAUUACACCAAGAGCGUGCAGCAUGAGUGCACUGAGGACAGACCCUUGGGAACAAGAAUAUUUUAAGAGUGGAUGGAGAAAAUAUCAAGUAAAAAACAUGGCUAAGAAGAGAAAAGAAGAGAAAGAAAGAAAUUUAAUAUUUAAGAGAAGAAGGAAAGUUGGCAGAAUGAGAGCUUGAAAGAAAGAUGGAGGGAUUUGGAAGAGUUAACCUUAUAUGAGAAGGACACCUUAUUUUCUUAGCAUGAAAUGAGAGAGACAGAGAGAGGCAGAGACACAGGCAGAGGGAGAAGCAGGCUUCAUGCAGGGAACC